CGACGAAGAACCUUACCAGGUCUUGACAUCCCGUUGACCGCUAUGGAGACAUAGUUUUCCCUUCGGGGACAAUGGUGACAGGUGGUGCAUGGUUGUCGUCAGCUCGUGUCGUGAGAUGUUGGGUUAAGUCCCGCAACGAGCGCAACCCUUGAUCUUAGUUGCCAUCAUUUAGUUGGGCACUCUAAGGUGACUGCCGGUGAUAAACCGGAGGAAGGUGGGGAUGACGUCAAAUCAUCAUGCCCCUUAUGACCUGGGCUACACACGUGCUACAAUGGACGGUACAAACGGUUGCCAACCCGCGAGGGGGAGCUAAUCCGAUAAAACCGUUCUCAGUUCGGAUUGUAGGCUGCAACUCGCCUACAUGAAGCCGGAAUCGCUAGUAAUCGCGGAUCAGCAUGCCGCGGUGAAUACGUUCCCGGGCCUUGUACACACCGCCCGUCACACCACGAGAGUUUGUAACACCCGAAGUCGGUGAGGUUAACCUUUUGGAGCCAGCCGCCGAAGGUGGGAUAGAUGAUUGGGGUGAAGUCGUAACAAGGUAAGCGUAGUGCU
rnacentral:rRNA from 1 species